rnacentral:rRNA from 1 species
GAUGAACGCUGGCGGCGUGCCUAAUACAUGCAAGUCGAGCGAACAGAUGAGGAGCUUGCUCCUCUGACGUUAGCGGCGGACGGGUGAGUAACACGUGGAUAACCUACCUAUAAGACUGGGAUAACUUCGGGAAACCGGAGCUAAUACCGGAUAAUAUAUUGAACCGCAUGGUUCAAUAGUGAAAGACGGUUUUGCUGUCACUUAUAGAUGGAUCCGCGCCGCAUUAGCUAGUUGGUAAGGUAACGGGUUACCAAGGCAACGAUGCGUAGCCGACCUGAGAGGGUGAUCGGCCACACUGGAACUGAGACACGGUCCAGACUCCUACGGGAGGCAGCAGUAGGGAAUCUUCCGCAAUGGGCGAAAGCCUGACGGAGCAACGCCGCGUGAGUGAUGAAGGUCUUCGGAUCGUAAAACUCUGUUAUUAGGGAAGAACAAAUGUGUAAGUAACUAUGCACGUCUUGACGGUACCUAAUCAGAAAGCCACGGCUAACUACGUG